rnacentral:rRNA from 1 species
CGGGUGAGUAACACGUGAGUGACCUGCCUUUUAGACUGGAACAACUUACCGAAAGGUGAGCUAAUGCCGGAUGAGUUAUAUAAGUGCAUGUUUAUAUAGGAAAAGUUGGGGAGACCUGACGCUGAAAGAUGGACUCGCGUCCCAUUAGCUAGUUGGUAGGGUAAUGGCCUACUAAGGCGACGAUGGGUAGCCGGCCUGAGAGGGUGGCCGGCCACACUGGGACUGAGACACGGCCCAGACUCCUACGGGAGGCAGCAG